ensembl:piRNA 21ur-10868 ncRNA
UUUGUUCAGAUACUGGUCCUU